ACGUAGGGUGCAAGCGUUGUCCGGAUUUACUGGGCGUAAAGAGCGCGUAGGCGGCUCGUUAAGUGAGAAGUGAAAGCUGUGGGCUCAACCCACAAACCGCUUUUCAUACUGGCGAGCUGGAGUGAUGCAGAGGUGGAUAGAAUUCCCGGUGUAGCGGUGAAAUGCGUUGAUAUCGGGAGGAAUACCCGUGGCGAAGGCGGCCUGCUGGGCAGUGGCUGACGCUGAGGCGCGACAGCGUGGGGAGCAAACAGGA
rnacentral:rRNA from 1 species